AAAUGUUAGGAAGAGGCCUUCUCUUCCCAGUUCUUCCCGGAGUUGGGAAAAGCUGGGUUGAGGGAUGGUGGGGAGGAAGAUU
rnacentral:pre_miRNA from 12 species